GACGAACGCUGGCGGCGUGCCUAAUACAUGCAAGUCGAACGAGAGCGACCGGUGCUUGCACUGGUCAAUCUAGUGGCGAACGGGUGAGUAACACGUGGGUAACCUGCCCAUCAGAGGGGGAUAACAUUCGGAAACGGAUGCUAAAACCGCAUAGGUCUUCGAACCGCAUGGUUUGAAGAGGAAAAGAGGCGCAAGCUUCUGCUGAUGGAUGGACCCGCGGUGCAUUAGCUAGUUGGUGAGGUAACGGCUCACCAAGGCCGUGAUGCAUAGCCGACCUGAGAGGGUGAUCGGCCACAUUGGGACUGAGACACGGCCCAAACUCCUACGGGAGGCAGCAGUAGGGAAUCUUCCGCAAUGGACGCAAGUCUGACGGAGCAACGCCGCGUGAGUGAAGAAGGUUUUCGGAUCGUAAAACUCUGUUGUUAGAGAAGAACAAGUGCUAGAGUAACUGUUAGCGCCUUGACGGUAUCUAACCAGAAAGCCACGGCUAACUACGUGCCAGCAGCCGCGGUAAUACGUAGGUGGCAAGCGUUGUCCGGAUUUAUUGGGCGUAAAGCGAGCGCAGGCGGUUCCUUAAGUCUGAUGUGAAAGCCCCCGGCUCAACCGGGGAGGGUCAUUGGAAACUGGGGAACUUGAGUGCAGAAGAGGAGAGUGGAAUUCCAUGUGUAGCGGUGAAAUGCGUAGAUAUAUGGAGGAACACCAGUGGCGAAGGCGACUCUCUGGUCCGUAACUGACGCUGAGGCUCGAAAGCGUGGGUAGCAAACAGG
rnacentral:rRNA from 1 species